GUGGUUGCUCAAUUAAGUUUCAUUAAGAAUCAAACACUACACUAGUUUCAGGUACUAGCGAGUAACAUCGUGGAGGUUCGAGUCCUCUCCUGGGCACCA
rnacentral:tRNA from 1 species